rnacentral:rRNA from 1 species
GACGAACGCUGGCGGCGUGCUUAACACAUGCAAGUCGAACGGAAAGGCCCUGCUUUUGUGGGGUGCUCGAGUGGCGAACGGGUGAGUAACACGUGAGUAACCUGCCCUUGACUUUGGGAUAACUUCAGGAAACUGGGGCUAAUACCGGAUAGGAUCUCCUGCUGCAUGGUGUGGGUUGGAAAGUUUCGGCGGUUGGGGAUGGACUCGCGGCUUAUCAGCUUGUUGGUGGGGUAGUGGCUUACCAAGGCUUUGACGGGUAGCCGGCCUGUGAGGGUGACCGGAAACAUUGGGAAUGAGAUACGGCCCAGACGCAUACGGGAGGAAGGAGUGGGGAAUAUUGAAAAAUGGGCGGAAGGCUGAUGGAGCAACGACGCGUGCGGGAUGAAGGCCGUCGGGUUGUAAAAAGAUUUCGCCUGUGACGAAGCGUGAGUGACGGUAAUGGGUAAAGAAGCACCGGCUAACUACGU